GACGAACGCUGGCGGCGUGCCUAAUACAUGCAAGUAGAACGCUGAGGGAGGAGCUUGCUUCUCUGGAUGAGUUGCGAACGGGUGAGUAACGCGUAGGUAACCUGCCUGGUAGCGGGGGAUAACUAUUGGAAACGAUAGCUAAUACCGCAUAAUAGUAGAUGUUGCAUGACAUUUGCUUAAAAGGUGCAAUUGCAUCACUACCAGAUGGACCUGCGUUGUAUUAGCUAGUUGGUGGGGUAACGGCUCACCAAGGCGACGAUACAUAGCCGACCUGAGAGGGUGAUCGGCCAAACUGGGACUGGGACACGGCCCAGACUCCUACGGGAGGCAGCAGUAGGGAAUCUUCGGCAAUGGACGGAAGUCUGACCGAGCAACGCCGCGUGAGGGAAGAAGGUUUUCGGAUCGUAAAGCUCUGUUGUAAGAGAAGAACGAGUGUGAGAGUGGAAAGUUCACACUGUGACGGUAUCUUACCAGAAAGGGACGGCUAACUACGUG
rnacentral:rRNA from 1 species